UACGUAGGGUGCAAGCGUUGUCCGGAAUUAUUGGGCGUAAAGAGCUCGUAGGCGGUUUGUCGCGUCUGCUGUGAAAACUCGGGGCUCAACUCCGAGCUUGCAGUGGGUACGGGCAGACUAGAGUGCGGUAGGGGAGACUGGAAUUCCUGGUGUAGCGGUGGAAUGCGCAGAUAUCAGGAGGAACACCGGUGGCGAAGGCGGUUCUCUGGGCAUUACCUGACGCUGAGGAGCGAAAGCAUGGGGAGCGAACAGG
rnacentral:rRNA from 1 species